GUGCAUGCAAUAUGAAGCAAAGCACAGUUACUUUAAAAGAUUGGCUUCAUACUUUGGAAACUUCACUAAUGUUGCACUUAGCCUUGCUGAACGACAUCAAACCAGAAGUUGCUAUCUAAGAAAUCAACCCAUUGCAAAAAAGCCUAAAAUUGAUUCUGCAAAAGAAAUUGUUGCUAAGGAUAGUGAACAUUAUUAUUUGCUCAAAGAGAGGAACUAAACUUAAGUGACAUUAGUAUUUUGUCAAGGUCUGGUCACACUCUAAAGGUGUUUCUGCAAUAGGAUUCUUUCCGAAAUCUGCUCAUCUUCUUCUGUCGUGUAGCAUGGAUUGUAAAAUUAAGAAACUGCAAGAUGAUAUUCAUCUAAGCGCGACGGCUCUGUUUUUGUAAAAUCUAACAUAAGACGAGGAAAUUUACCCAGAAUGUUGGAGGUGAUAUUAGACACACGUAUUAUGGUAAAGAAAGCUAUGAAAGAUUGUAAAGAUGGUAAAAAAAUAAAGAUGAUAUCAAGUUCAACAAAAGUGGUUCUUGGGACUCUCCUAAUCCUGUCUAUUAGUGGCCAUAUAGUAAAUGGUAAUGACGACAUAUCAAUCUGCAAGAAAAGGUUAGAAACACUAAAAGACGACGUGAAAGAAUGGAUAGAAACUUGCGUUGAUAAAAUGGCAAUGACGAUAACACAACUGCAUGCAAGGAAGUAAAACAAUACAACAAAGAAAUGAUGCAAAUGCAAACGGAAAUGUGUUUUUACAAAGGUGUUUAUCCAAAGCCAUAUUUCAUUAUUUUGAGCUUUGAUCAAAUAUACUCUGUUGAUUCUAUUACUGGAGAUAUUCAUGUCAGCACUAUUAAUGGCUCCAGUAAGAAUAAAUUUGACCAUGCAUCAAAAUAUAAUGACAUUGAAGUUGAUGUAGUUGAGAAUGUGCUUUACUACACUGAUGACAAAGACAUCAAACGGGGAAAUCUUGACUUGACUGGAAACGAAAUUGUUGCGGAAAAUGUUUCUGUUCAUGAUAUUACAGUUGACUGGAUUGGUCGUCGUAUCUUUUACAUUGACUCCACGAACAUUAUCUACCAAAUUUUUUUGGAAAAGAAAAUUACAAGUGUUAUGAGGCUUCAACCAGGCUUGCGAUUUUCUAGCAUCGCAUUUGACUCAAAACAGGGGUAUCUAUUCUUGGCAGAAAGUACAGAACUUUUCUUAUGGUUAUGGAGCAUGAAUGCAAAUAAACAUCAUAUCUUCUCAGUUUCACUUCAAUCAAUAGCACAUGAUCUAACGCUUGACAUGGCUAAAGAGAAGAUUUAUUGGCGAGUUUCAAACGGAAAUGUUUUUUUCUUGUGAUUACUACUCCCAUAAUGUAAUUGAUUUUGGAACUUCAGGAGGUCCCAUGGCAGUAUUUAAAGAUUUCAUUUAUAUCAUAACUAGUGUCGGACGAAGUGUCGUUAGUGUCCAUAACACAACAGAUCAACGUAUGAGGCGUAAAUAUGUUCUUCCUGUAAACAACGGUUAUCUUGAUUUGGCUGUAGCUAUACACAGUAUCACUCCUGACUCAAACGAUAUCGACAAUACAUCACAAAUUUCCUAGCUGGCGACAAACACUUUUCGACUUCCUUUAUGUGGACCCAACACUUACUAUCGUAAAAUUAAUGGAUCAUUAAACUGCACGUGUAUGAAAGGAUACUCAGGAGAAUGUAACUCGUGCCAGGUUAUCAACUCUGUUAGACUUCGGGGACCAGAACGUUCUAUUGGCAAAGGUCGUGUAGAGGUAUUUUACAAUG